rnacentral:rRNA from 1 species
ACCGGCAAACGGGUGCGGAACACGUACACAACCUCCCGAGAAGUGGGGAAUAGCCCAGAGAAAUUUGGAUUAAUACCCCGUAACACAGUGAAAUGGCAUCAUUUUACUGUUAUAGUUUCGACGCUUCUUGAUGGGUGUGCGGCUGAUUAGAUAGUUGGCGGGGUAACGGCCCACCAAGUCUACGAUCAGUAGCUGAUGUGAGAGCAUGAUCAGCCACACGGGCACUGAGACACGGGCCCGACUCCUACGGGAGGCAGCAGUAAGGAAUAUUGGUCAAUGGGCGAAAGCCUGAACCAGCCAUGCCGCGUGAAGGAUUAAGGUCCUCUGGAUUGUAAACUUCUUUUAUCUGGGACG